AACGAACGCUGGCGGCAUGCCUAACACAUGCAAGUCGAACGAGACCUUCGGGUCUAGUGGCGCACGGGUGCGUAACGCGUGGGAAUCUGCCCUUGGGUUCGGAAUAACAGUUGGAAACGACUGCUAAUACCGGAUGAUGACGUAAGUCCAAAGAUUUAUCGCCCAGGGAUGAGCCCGCGUAGGAUUAGCUAGUUGGUGGGGUAAAGGCCUACCAAGACGACGAUCCUUAGCUGGUCUGAGAGGAUGAUCAGCCACACUGGGACUGAGACACGGCCCAGACUCCUACGGGAGGCAGCAGUGGGGAAUAUUGGACAAUGGGCGAAAGCCUGAUCCAGCAAUGCCGCGUGAGUGAUGAAGGCCUUAGGGUUGUAAAGCUCUUUUACCCGGGAUGAUAAUGACAGUACCGGGAGAAUAAGCCCCGGCUAACUCCGUG
rnacentral:rRNA from 1 species